UACAGAGGUCCCAAGCGUUGUUCGGAUUUACUGGGCGUAAAGGGUGCGUAGGUGGUGAGGUAAGUCUGAUGUGAAAUCUCCGAGCUUAACUCGGAAAUGGCAUUGGAAACUACCUUGCUAGAGGGUUGGAGGGGGGACUGGAAUACUUGGUGUAGCAGUGAAAUGCGUAGAUAUCAAGUGGAACACCAGUGGCGAAGGCGGCUCUCUAGUACGGUACUGACGCUGAGACGCGAAAGCGUGGGGAGCGAACAGG
rnacentral:rRNA from 1 species